GACGAACGCUGGCGGCGUGCCUAAUACAUGCAAGUCGAGCGAAUGGAUUAAGAGCUUGCUCUUAUGAAGUUAGCGGCGGACGGGUGAGUAACACGUGGGUAACCUGCCCAUAAGACCGGGAUAACUCCGGGAAACCGGGGCUAAUACCGGAUAACAUUUUGAGCCGCAUGGUUCGAAAUUGAAAGGCGGCUUCGGCUGUCACUUAUGGAUGGACCCGCGUCGCAUUAGCUAGUUGGUGAGGUAACGGCUCACCAAGGCAACGAUGCGUAGCCGACCUGAGAGGGUGAUCGGCCACACUGGGACUGAGACACGGCCCAGACUCCUACGGGAGGCAGCAGUAGGGAAUCUUCCGCAAUGGACGAAAGUCUGACGGAGCAACGCCGCGUGAGUGAUGAAGGCUUUCGGGUCGUAAAACUCUGUUGUUAGGGAAGAACAAGUGCUAGUUGAAUAAGCUGGCACCUUGACGGUACCUAACCAGAAAGCCACGGCUAACUACGUGCCAGCCGCCGCGGUAA
rnacentral:rRNA from 1 species